rnacentral:lncRNA from 1 species
GGUCAAAGGUGAAUUCAAAAGUGAAAUUUUUUGAAAGCAUUUGAAUGUAGAUCAAAAUGAAAGUACGACAUAUGAAAAUUUGUACUUUGCAGGUAACUCAGUAGUUAGUGGGAGGUUUAUAGCACUGAACCCUAUAUUAGAAAAGAAGAAAGAUCUGAGUCAGCUUCCACCUCGGCUCCCACCUUAAGCUAGAAAAGCAAACUAAGAAAUUAGAAAGAAACUUAAAGCAAAAGAAAACCAAAAUAAUCAAAUGAAAGAAAAUAAUCAAAUUAAAUAGAAAAUCAACAAAAGACAAAAUCAAGUAAGAAAGACAGAGGGCGGCCGGGCGCGGUGGCUCAAGCCUGUAAUCCCAGCACUUUGGGAGGCCGAGACUGGCGGAUCACGAGGUCAGGAGAUAGAGACCAUCCUGGCUAACAUGGUGAAAACCCGUCUCUACUAAAAAAAAAAAAAUACCAAGAAACUAGCCGGGCGAGGUGGCGGGCGCCUGUAGUCCCAGUUACUCGGGAGGCUGAGGCAGGAGAAUGGCGUGAACCUGGGAGGCGGAGCUUGCAGUGAGCCGAGAUCGCGCCACUGCACUCCAGCCUGGGCGACAGAGUGAGACUACUCAUUCCAUCGUCACAAUACCCUACGGGGUAGUGGCGAUUAUUACCUGACUUUUACAGGUGGGUAAACUGAGGCACGGAAGGGCUGGCUAGGGCAGCUGGGGCCUGAGGGUGGGGGGCUGGGAGGUGGAGGAGCUGGGAUUUGAACCCCUGUCUGUCAGCUUAAUCACCACGGCUUACCCAAUGCACCAUCCUGCCUCCCUCUCCACUGGUCCUGUGGGUAGAUCCAUAGGUUGAUUGAUUGAUUGUCUUCCCCAUAGACUCCAGGUGCAGGAAGGUUCUGGUGCUGGAAGCUUCCUAGAGGACUGGUCUCUAUCCCCUUCCCAGAGGCAGAUCCAGAGCCUGGCCUUUCCGUCGUGUCUCUGCGUGGGCUGCUGUUUCUGCUUGUCCCUGGUGGGGGAUUCACCCCUUUUUAUUGAGAUAGAGCAGACUGAAGACUGAUUUCCAUCCAAAUUUUGAAAAAUAAAGCUGAUCCUCCAACCGGAUAUGAAAGAGAAGGAAAGGCCAAACAGAGGACCCUUAACGGGAAAACAGAAAUCAAAGCAAAUAACCAAGGUAAAAAAAAGAUAUUAAUGCUUAUGAUAAUUUAAAAAGUAAAUAAAUAAGGAAACUAGCAAAAACUC